UCUUACUCAAGUCGUUUUAUUGUUAAUUACUUCUACUUUUACUCGAGUACAAAUUCAAAGUAAUUUAGGCACCACUAGCCCUCUGCACAGGAACGGAAGGUUUGAUCCUACAAGCCCUUCUACAACUAGUUGUAUAUAUCGAGUGUAGGUACACAAAAUCCUGAUAUUAUUUAGCCAUACCUGACAUUAGCUUCGAAUGUAUUAUCCAACCUGCCAUAUUUUGCCAGUGAUUGGUGAUCCAGCUCAGAUGAUGCUGUAAUCUGCUCGUCAGCGAUCGCUCCGUUUGUCAUGCCAAGCGGUUUUGCAACCAAGCAAACUU